CUCGUGGAUCAGCCUGAGCUCCUCCCUCAGAGCCGAGCGCAGCUUGACGCCUCGGACCAGAGGACCCGAAGUCUGAGCUGAAAGAUUUCGGCCGACCGGUUAGAAAGGAUCAUCUUCCACAGACACAGCAACGAGGAUGUGGGAGACACCCUCCCCUGAAGUCUCUCCUGGUGCUGAGAGCAGAAACAACUCGUCAAACUGCUGAUCAUCUACAUUUACUCUCACGCUGAACACAAGCCACCCAACCGUCUCACAGGCGAGCCUCAGUGAACCUCUGCAUUAGAAACAAGCCCAAACCGAAGAACCCAGUCCGCCCAGUCUGCCCAGUCCGGUCCUGCAGUGGGAACUGGAGCUCCGACUCAGACCUGUUGGAUCUGGUUCUACGCCGUCAGACCGCCUGCUUCCUGUUCUACUGGUUCUGCAGGUCCAGAAUGACCCCUUUGACCUCCACAUCCCCUGUGGAGGCCUCCUGCCCUUCCUCCUCCUCCUCCUCUUCCUCACCUCGCUGUGCGGGGGGA